rnacentral:rRNA from 1 species
GACGAACGCUGGCGGCGUGCUUAACACAUGCAAGUCGAACGGAAAGGCCCUGCUUUUGUGGGGUGCUCGAGUGGCGAACGGGUGAGUAACACGUGAGUAACCUGCCCUUGACUUUGGGAUAACUUCAGGAAACUGGGGCUAAUACCGGAUAGGAGCUCCUGCUGCAUGGUGGGGUUGGAAAGUUUCGGCGGUUGGGGAUGGACUCGCGGCUUAUUAGCUUGUUGGUGGGGUAGUGGCUUACCAAGGCUUUGACGGGUAGCCGGCCUGAGAGGGUGACCGGCCACAUUGGGACUGAGAUACGGCCCAGACUCCUACGGGAGGCAGCAGUGGGGAAUAUUGCACAAUGGGCGGAAGCCUGAUGCAGCAACGCCGCGUGCGGGAUGACGGCCUUCGGGUUGUAAACCGCUUUCGCCUGUGACGAAGCGUGAGUGACGGUAAUGGGUAAAGAAGCACCGGCUAACUACGUG